UACGUAGGGUGCAAGCGUUGUCCGGAAUUAUUGGGCGUAAAGAGCUCGUAGGCGGUUUGUCGCGUCUGCUGUGAAAACCCGAGGCUCAACCUCGGGCCUGCAGUGGGUACGGGCAGACUAGAGUGCGGUAGGGGAGAUCGGAAUUCCUGGUGUAGCGGUGAAAUGCGCAGAUAUCAGGAGGAACACCGGUGGCGAAGGCGGGUCUCUGGGCAACAACUGACGCUGAGGAGCGAAAGCGUGGGGAGCGAACAGG
rnacentral:rRNA from 1 species